AUUGAACGCUGGCGGCAGGCCUAACACAUGCAAGUCGAGCGGAUGAGUGGAGCUUGCUCCAUGAUUCAGCGGCGGACGGGUGAGUAAUGCCUAGGAAUCUGCCUGGUAGUGGGGGACAACGUUUCGAAAGGAACGCUAAUACCGCAUACGUCCUACGGGAGAAAGUGGGGGAUCUUCGAACCUCACGCUAUCAGAUGAGCCUAGGUCGGAUUAGCUAGUUGGUGAGGUAAAGGCUCACCAAGGCGACGAUCCGUAACUGGUCUGAGAGGAUGAUCAGUCACACUGGAACUGAGACACGGUCCAGACUCCUACGGGAGGCAGCAGUGGGGAAUAUUGGACAAUGGGCGAAAGCCUGAUUCAGCCAGGCCGCGUGUGUGAAGAAGGUCUUCGGAUUGUAAAGCACUUUAAGUUGGGAGGAAGGGCAGUAAGUUAAUACCUUGCUGUUUUGACGUUACCAACAGAAUAAGCACCGGCUAACUUCGUGCCAGCCGCCGCGGUAAGAC
rnacentral:rRNA from 1 species